GUCGGCCCCGCCCUCCGGCGCGCCGUUGCUGGAUGAGCUUGUCGUCGGCCUCGGCGCCAAUGGGUUAUGCCCCUCGGACCCGCUGCUGCUCAUGCAGGUCACGAAGUUCGCCUGCGGUGGGUUCGUCGCCGGCAAGUUGCUCUUCAGCCUUCCAUGCUCUAAGGUUGCGCUCUCAAAUUCAGGCUCUCAGGAGCCAGAUAAUAGGAAGGUAUUAGUAUUUCUUGUUAGCUGCUAAUUUUUGGCUUAAAUAAUGAUAAUUUAUUGAGAUUUUGUGGUCACAGAUUAUUAUAGUGAAAGCCCAAAGAAGCUUUACAAGAAUCAUGAAAGUGUUCAGUGCUGAUGCUGGACAAAAGAUCAUGAAGGAACCUGAAUUUAUAGCUCCCCAGAAUGAAAGAAAUGAUCAAGGCAGUUCGUUCAAAGAAAUGAUAAAGGCGUCAAAGGUGAAGUACAAGCAACUUCCUCCCUACAUGAAGAGUCUAGCAUCCUGGGAGGUCUGAAUUUCUUAACUACUUGGACGCUUAUAGUUCUGCCCAUAGAACUUUAUGCAUGCUGGAUAUGCAUAGUCACAAAAUUACAACAUGUGGUUCUUGAAAUUAGUAACUUUACUCUCUAAGAAAAUCAAUUGAAGACAGAUAUUCUGCAACAUCUUCACUUUCUAUUUCCUCAGAUUAUUACAUUUUUCCAUUGUCUUCUUGAUCCAAAAUGGACUCGUGGUGUCGUGAUUCAUGAGCCAUAGCAAUAGCUAUGUUAUCAGUGUCAUCUGCCUCAAAGUUGCGCUUUUUUGUUGCAUCAAGAAUUGUAGGAUGGAAUAUGCAAAUUAAAUUCAUACUUUGGCACUAACAAUGCAUUGAAUCAAGAUGAUACUGGAGCAAUAGGGCUUGGUAUGUAGAGUUACUUCUCUUCGCGUGUAGAUUUGAAAAUAUCAAAUGUUAUAGCACUCUGAACAAAACUUUUUGUCAGGUUGCUGUUUCAUUGCCACAUGCUCUUGAUGAAUUUG